CUCUUAAGUUUCUCUUCAUGGGAGGAAAAACAGCAUUUUUUUUUUUUUCACAGAGGUCUUUUCCAGUGUCUAAUGUGAACAUGCAGUGCUGGAGAAGCACAGCAAUAUGCCAUUCCUUUUAGGCUUGCCCAUGUCCAGAUGUACAUCCCAAGAUUUGCUAGCUCUGGGGAACGUAAAGCAAACUGAAGGAAACAGGAUUUUACUGAAAGAAACAGGAUUCUACAGAAAAGAAGCAGACCCAUAAGAACUGUACAGAGAACAUUUUCUUUCGGAGUACCUACUGUUAUGCAAUUGUGCUAAGACUAUGCCUCUGUAUUUCACAUCCCUUUUAUGAGUUUGCCAGAGGCAGCAGAAGCCAUAGAGGACCUUUCUCCAAGGCAGAGAAUGCAGAUGAUCCCACUCUGAAGAGAGACGAUGCAAAGCACAAAGGUUUCAGCGUACCCACAUGGUACCACAUGGAGCUUUGUUGUAGGAGCAUCAAGCGAUUGAGAUAUUGACACGGCUGCAUGCAAACAGAUGUGAUCUCCUCCGCUGCACAUGGAGUUGUCUGUAUAGAAACCGGCUCCGUUCCAGAAACUUUAUAGAUGCAUUGAUGCAGUGCUGCUUUGAAGCUAUUAAGACAUGACUUUCGCCUACGUUGAUAUGCCUUUAGUGAAUUAACUGUGAAGUCCAAAGAUGUGAAAUGCAUGCAAGUCUCCCAAGCUCGGCUAAAACCUGAUGUGCUGUUCUUCAGCAGCAAUAGCUUGUUACUAAGUGACGCUUGAAUCAAGAGUGAGGGACGUGGAAACUGUUUUCAAAAAAUUCUUACCUUGUGGUAUUUAACAUUUCUUUCUGGCUGUAAUUAUACCUAAUAACUAUUUAGUCAAGUAUUUAAGAGCCUAUUUUAUUAUCACUGCCCUUAUUUGUAUUACAGUACCAUGGAUUAAAUUUAGGACAAUAUACAAGUUUAUCUUUUCUUUGUAGUAGACUGAUAGCAGUAAUUUGUCACAGUUUCCAUCACAGGCCACAUAAUUAAGAUCAGAGUUAAGAAUUGGACUGUGAAGAUCUCAACCACUGGGACCACUGCUGUGCACUGAGAUAACCAAAAAAGGUAGAGAAUAAGAAGACAGUGUAAUUUGAAAUUAAUCAAGAUGUAACAACUCCCUUUUGUAGACUGUGGUUGGGAAUUCUCAGUUGAGCUGACUGUGCCAAUGACUGAAUCACAGUUGCUGGACUGUUCACUUCAUGACCUAACGCUGUGCUCUUCUCACAGCUGCUGAGUUGCAGAUAAAUCCUGUGCAGCCUAAGACCUUAGGUUGCCUGAGGUUAAUGUAUCACUGACAGUUUACACCAGUUGAAGAUCUGUCCCUGGGUAUCUGAAUCCUACAGAUAGCGUUCUUUUCUAAUGAGCAAGAGGUUCAGAGGAACUACAAGGCCUGUGUGAUGUGAGGAUACUGGGAAGAUAUUCCUGCUGCAGCCUGACAGAAAAUGAUAGCCAAGACCCUAAUGCUAGUUUCU
rnacentral:lncRNA from 1 species